CGGAAGUUUUCAGAUGACCCUGUCCAAGAAACUGUGGUGUUAAGAAGGAGUGCACGUAGGGGAUCAGCUAAAAAACAUGAUGUAACCACUAAAGCACCUAAUGAGGUCUUUAAGUCAGUGUCCCCUGAAGUUAGUGCAUUAAGUGACGAGAAACCAAGGAAAUUGUAUUAUGAGCCAGAAGAAGAGCUCGUUGUUCUUCCUCCAAAGGUGGAGCUACCACCUUCCUCGCAAAAUUUGGAUUUGGGUGGAAUCCCCAC
rnacentral:lncRNA from 1 species